rnacentral:rRNA from 1 species
GACGAACGCUGGCGGCGUGCUUAACACAUGCAAGUCGAACGGAAAGGCCCUGCUUUUGUGGGGUGCUCGAGUGGCGAACGGGUGAGUAACACGUGAGUAACCUGCCCUUGACUUUUGGAUAACUUCAGGAAACUGGGGCUAAUACCGGAUAGGAGCUCCUGCUGCAUGGUGGGGGUUGGAAAGUUUCGGCGGUUGGGGAUGGACUCGCGGCUUAUCAGCUUGUUGGUGGGGUAGUGGCUUACCAAGGCUUUGACGGGUAGCCGGCCUGAGAGGGUGACCGGCCACAUUGGGACUGAGAUACGGCCCAGACUCCUACGGGAGGCAGCAGUGGGGAAUAUUGCACAAUGGGCGGAAGCCUGAUGCAGCAACGCCGCGUGCGGGAUGACGGCCUUCGGGUUGUAAACCGCUUUCGCCUGUGACGAAGCGUGAGUGACAGUAAUGGGUAAAGAAGCACCGGCUAACUACGUG